CAAGCGCACGCGAAGGCCUCACGGUCUCCGGAACCCGAGCCAGAUUCGCAGCCAGGCCCGCUCUUCGCGCCAGCUCCCCAUCCCCCACCCCUGCGGCCCGCGGCGCCUUCCAAACCCGAGGAGGUGACGAUGAAAACGCACAAGUAACGGCUCCGAGGUGGGGGGGUGGGGGGGGAGUCUCCUUUCUCGCCGCCGACCCGUCACCACGCACGAGAGUUCUCAACACCCAACGGUCCUGUCUCCUCGACUUUUUUCUUUUGAGUGACUGGAAUGCAGCGCAAGGCCUACCUGACACGCCGAAGCACGAUUCUCAGGAUUUACCUCCGCUGUAACUACACAGCGGCCAUUUCCCGACUCCAGAAGGAGAGGAAGACCAUAGAGG
rnacentral:lncRNA from 1 species